UGACCGAGCAACGCCGCGUGAGUUGAAGAAGGUUUUCGGAUCGUAAAGCUCUGUUGUUAAGGAAGAACGAGUGUGAGAAUGGAAAGUUCAUACUGUGACGGUACUUAACCAGAAAGGGACGGCUAACUACGUGCCAGCAGCCGCGGUAAUACGUAGGUCCCGAGCGUUGUCCGGAUUUAUUGGGCGUAAAGCGAGCGCAGGCGGUUAGAAAAGUCUGAAGUGAAAGGCAGUGGCUCAACCAUUGUAGGCUUUGGAAACUGUUUAACUUGAGUGCAGAAGGGGAGAGUGGAAUUCCAUGUGUAGCGGUGAAAUGCGUAGAUAUAUGGAGGAACACCGGUGGCGAAAGCGGCUCUCUGGUCUGUAACUGACGCUGAGGCUCGAAAGCGUGGGGAGCGAACAGGAUUAGAUACCCUGGUAGUCCACGCCGUAAACGAUGAGUGCUAGGUGUUAGGUCCUUUCCGGGACUUAGUGCCGCAGCUAACGCAUUAAGCACUCCGCCUGGGGAGUACGACCGCAAGGUUGAAACUCAAAGGAAUAGACGGGGGCCCGCACAAGCGGUGGAGCAUGUGGUUUAAUUCGAAGCACGCGAAGAACCUUACCAGGUCU
rnacentral:rRNA from 1 species